rnacentral:rRNA from 1 species
CUCGUGAGUGGCAAGCGUUGUCCGGAAUUACUGGGCGUAAAGAGCACGUAGGCGGUUUGGUAAGCGGCGGGUGAAAUCUCAGGGCCCAACCCUGGGACUGCUCGCCGAACUGCCAGGCUAGAGUGCGGGAGAGGGCAGUGGAAUUCCUGGUGUAGCGGUGGAAUGCGUAUAUAUCAGGAGGAACACCUGUGGCGAAGGCUGCUGCCUGGAACGCGACUGACGCUGAGGUGCGAAAGCUAGGGGAGCGAACGGG